GAAAUAAUAGCUCAGUCGGUAGAGCACGAGACUCUUAAUCUCAGGGUUGUGAGUUCAAGCCCCACAUCAAACA
rnacentral:tRNA from 1 species